ACACGACUACAUUAGAUACCCGCGUAGUCCUAGCCGUAAACGAUACUCGCUGGGUGUCGGCCACGGUGCGACCGUUGUCGGUGCCGUAGGGAAGCCGUGAAGCGAGCCACCUGGGAAGUACGGCCGCAAGGCUGAAACUUAAAGGAAUUGGCGGGGAGCACCACAAGAGGUGGAGGCUGCGGUUCAAUUGGACUCAACGCCGGAAACUCAUCGGGAGCGACAGCAGUAUGAUUGCCAGGUUGAUGACCUUGCUUGACAAGCUG
rnacentral:rRNA from 1 species